rnacentral:rRNA from 1 species
UACGUAGGGUGCGAGCGUUGUCCGGAAUUAUUGGGCGUAAAGAGCUCGUAGGCGGUGUGUCACGUCGUUCGUUAAAACCUGCAGCUUAACUGUGGGCGUGCGGUCGAUACGGGCAUCACUGGAGUUCGGCAGGGGAGACUGGAAUUCCUGGUGUAGCGGUGAAAUGCGCAGAUAUCAGGAGGAACACCGGUGGCGAAGGCGGGUCUCUGGGCCGAUACUGACGCUGAGGAGCGAAAGCGUGGGGAGCGAACAGG